GGAGGGUUGCCAGAGUGGCCGAAUGGGCCGCACUCGAAAUGCGGUAAAGGAGCAAUCCUUUCGGAGGUUCAAAUCCUCCACCCUCCG
rnacentral:tRNA from 1 species